UACAGAGGGGGCGAGCGUUGUUCGGAAUUACUGGGCGUAAAGGGCGCGUAGGCGGCCUGCUAAGUCGGACGUGAAAUCCCUCGGCUCAACCGGGGAACUGCGUCCGAUACUGGCGGGCUUGAAUCCGGGAGAGGAAUGCGGAAUUCCAGGUGUAGCGGUGAAAUGCGUAGAUAUCUGGAGGAACACCGGUGGCGAAGGCGGCAUUCUGGACCGGCAUUGACGCUGAGGCGCGAAAGCCAGGGGAGCAAACGGG
rnacentral:rRNA from 1 species